rnacentral:rRNA from 1 species
AUUGAACGCUGGCGGCAGGCUUAACACAUGCAAGUCGAGCGGGGGAAGGUAGCUUGCUACCGGACCUAGCGGCGGACGGGUGAGUAAUGCUUAGGAAUCUGCCUAUUAGUGGGGGACAACAUCUCGAAAGGGAUGCUAAUACCGCAUACGUCCUACGAGAGAAAGCAGGGGAUCACUUGUGACCUUGCGCUAAUAGAUGAGCCUAAGUCGGAUUAGCUAGUUGGUGGGGUAAAGGCCUAUCAAGGCGACGAUCUGUAGCGGGUCUGAGAGGAUGAUCCGCCACACUGGGACUGAGACACGGCCCAGACUCCUACGGGAGGCAGCAGUGGGGAAUAUUGGACAAUGGGGGGAACCCUGAUCCAGCCAUGCCGCGUGUGUGAAGAAGGCCUUAUGGUUGUAAAGCACUUUAAGCGAGGAGGAGGCUCUUUUGGUUAAUACCCGAGAUGAGUGGACGUUACUCGCAGAAUAAGCACCGGCUAACUCUGUGCCAGCCGCCGCGGUAA